AGCAUAUCAAUAAGCGGAGGAAAAGAAACCAACAGGGAUUACCUCAGUAACGGCGAGUGAAGCGGUAACAGCUCAAAUUUGAAAUCUGGCCCUUUCAGGGUCCGAGUUGUAAUUUGUAGAGGAUGUUUCGGGUGUGGCUCCGGUCUAAGUUCCUUGGAACAGGACGUCAUAGAGGGUGAGAAUCCCGUAUGUGACUGGUUGCCUAUGCUCAUGUGAAACUCCUUCGACGAGUCGAGUUGUUUGGGAAUGCAGCUCAAAAUGGGUGGUAAAUUUCAUCUAAAGCUAAAUAUUGGCCAGAGACCGAUAGCGCACAAGUAGAGUGAUCGAAAGAUGAAAAGCACUUUGGAAAGAGAGUUAAACAGUACGUGAAAUUGUUGAAAGGGAAGCGCUUGCAACCAGACUUGCACUUGGUCGAUCAUCCUCUGUUCUCAGUGGUGCACUCGAUCUCGUUCAGGCCAGCAUCGGUUUUGGUGGUUAGAUAAAGGCCUUAGGAAUGUAGCUUCCCUCGGGGAGUGUUAUAGCCUAGGGUGCAAUGUAGCCUACCGGGACCGAGGACCGCGCUUCGGCUAGGAUGCUGGCGUAAUGGUUGUAAGCGACCCGUCUUGAAACACGGACCAAGGAGUCUAACAUCUAUGCGAGUGUUUGGGUGUUAAACCCAUACGCGUAAUGAAAGUGAACGUAGGUGUGAACCCUUAAGGGUGCAACAUCGACCGAUCUUGAUGUCUUCGGAUGGAUUUGAGUAAGAGCAUAGCUGUUGGGACCCGAAAGAUGGUGAACUAUGCCUGAAUAGGGUGAAGCCAGAGGAAACUCUGGUGGAGGCUCGCAGCGGUUCUGACGUGCAAAUCGAUCGUCAAAUUUGGGUAUAGGGGCGAAAGACUAAUCGAACCAUCUAGUAGCUGGUUCCUGCCGAAGU
rnacentral:rRNA from 1 species